rnacentral:misc_RNA from 1 species
AAGUCGUAACAAGGUUUCCGUAGGUGAACCUGCGGAAGGAUCAUUAUUAAUUCUUCUGGCAGCUGCGCGCGUUAAAACCGCAGCUGUUCUUUCUUGUGAACUGGGGUUACUGUUAAAAAAGCUUUAAAACGCCUUUUUUCAGUAACUCGUCGUUAAUGCUCUUGUGUUAAUUUUUUUUUGUUUUUGCUUUUUUAAGCUUAACCGCUUAAGAAAAUAAUUACAAGACAACUUUCAGCAAUGGAUCUCUUGGCUCUU